rnacentral:tRNA from 1 species
GAGAGCGUAGCUCAGAUGGUAGAGCGCCCGCUUAGCCUGCGAGAGGUACGGGGAUAGAUACCCCGCGCCUCCA